rnacentral:lncRNA from 1 species
UUCUGUGAAGUGGACAAGAGCCUGCUCUGUUUGCUGUAUUCCAACUCUCAGGAGCACCGGAAUCACAGACACUGUCCCAUUGAGUGGGCUGCUGAGGAACGCCGGGGAGCUCCUAAAAAAAAAUGCAGUCUUUGUGGGAAAAAGCUUGUGAAAAUCUCAGAAACCUGAACAUGGAAACCACCAGAACAAGAUGCUGGAAGGAUUAUGUGAGUUUAAGGAUAGAAGCAAUCAGAGCUGAAUAUCAGAAGAUGCCUGCAUUUCUCCAUGAAGAAAAACAACAACAUUUGGAGAGGCUGUGAAAGGAGGGCGAGGACAUUUUUCAGCAACUCAAUGAAAGCAAAGCCAGAAUGGAACAUUCCAGGGAGCUUUUAAGAGGAAUGUAUGAGGAUCUGAAGAAAAUGUGCCAUAAAGCAGAUGUGGAGCUACUCUAGUACGAACUGACCAUGGGGUAUCAUGAUGAUGAAGAUUCACGUGCAUGGGUGUUUUUCCUCUCUCCUGAAAUCCGUCUCCCCCUUUACUUCCAUGAUUUGUUUCCAAAAACACGAUUUGAUAACUAAUGCUACUUGGUUGGGAGGGUAUAGCCUCUCCUAGUGAUUCUACCAGAACGAAGGUCCCUCCUACUUUAUCCACCAGCAACAAAACUUUGUGGAAUGACCAAGUCUUUUGGAGACAUAUUACAAAGGUAUGAGUCUCUGCUGCUGCAAGUGUCUGAGCCUGUGAAUCCAGAUUUCAGUG